rnacentral:rRNA from 1 species
GAUGAACGCUGGCUACAGGCUUAACACAUGCAAGUCGAGGGGAAACGACGGGGAAGCUUGCUUCCCCGGGCGUCGACCGGCGCACGGGUGAGUAACGCGUAUCCAACCUGCCUCUGACUGAGGGAUAACCCGUCGCAAGUCGGCCUAAUACCUCAUGGCAUCGUCUGCGGGCAUCCAACGACGAUUAAAGAUUUCAUCGGUCAGGGAUGGGGAUGCGUCUGAUUAGCUUGUUGGCGGGGUAACGGCCCACCAAGGCUACGAUCAGUAGGGGUUCUGGGAGGAAGGUCCCCCACAUUGGAAAUGAGGCACGGUCCAAAGUCCUACGGGAGGCAGCAGUGAGGAAUAUUGGUCAAUGGGGGGUGGCCUAAACCAGCCGAGUAGCGUGCAGAAUGACGGCCCUAUGGGUUGUAAACUGCUUUUAUGCGGGGAUAAAGUGAGGGACGUGUCCUUCAUUGCAGGUACCGAAUGAAUAAGGACCGGCUAAUUCCGUG